rnacentral:lncRNA from 1 species
UUGGAAGUGGAUGUUAUUACUCAGUUGUUGGCACAGUUGGCAGCUAUGGCGAAGAAAAUAGAUUCAAUAGCCGAGAGAAAAGCGAAAAUAGUUGCCUUUGUAUGUGAGAUCCGUACAGGAUCACACUCCAUGGAUCAAUGUGUUAUUAGCUCGAAGUCGGUACAGUAUAUGGGAAAUUACAUGAAAGACCAAGGACAGUUUCAGAACACAUAUAACCCAAACAACCGCAAUCAUCCAAACUUCAGUUGGUCAAAUAACCAAGGGCAUCAGCAGAAUCAGUUUCAGCCGAAUCAACAAUUUCAGUCACAGCCAUCUUAACCACAGUUUACACCAAAACCUGUGACGACCCCAAAUCCGGAUACUUGAAACCCGAACUCGGUUCUCCACGAUACCAUUUCUUUAAGCUGAAUAAUACUAAAUAAUAAUAAUAAUAUAAUUCGAACUUAAUUUACAUACAUCAAAGUUUACUUCCCCAAGUACGUGACCUUCAAAUACAUUCCUUACAAUACCUGACAAUAGAUUCUAUUGUCUUACUAACUAUAACCAUUAACUCAUACUAAAUCUCAUUCGAACAGCUUUUCUUUUCCCUUGUUCGUGCCUGAGCCUUCAGGUCGAUCGUACGUAACUGAAAACAUUUAGUUUAAGCAAGGAUGAGCAUUUGAGUGCCCAGCAAGUAAUAGCAAUUAUAUAUAUAAGCUGAAAGAAUAU